GCGUCGGCGUCGGUGUCUGCGUUAGUCGUCGUUCGUUCGAAGCACUCGAUGUAAGCGUAGGUACGCGUAAUUUACGACGGGAGUUUUCGAAGUCCUUAAAGCUCGACUCGCUCUUCGUUUAAUUACUCGUGCCGCGGCUCCGUUCCUUUUCGGCGGGGUAUUUCUAGCGGCCCGGUCGAAAAGUCACCGAGCAAUUGGAUCAUCAGAUUCGAGCGUGAAACGAGUUGAUCCGAUAGGAUUAGCUCUUUGUGCGAAACUGCGUUUCAAGGAGAAAUAUUAGGGGAUGUUGGUAUGGUAGUGACCUGACAAGUAUAUUUUAUAGAUCUUUCUUGGAAGCACCGUGGAUAAAUCAACCAUCGGUGAAGUUCAUAUAGAAAAUACAGUACGUUCGCGAACGAAGGUAAAAUGUGAAACGUGUAUGAAAAAUGUCAGUCGAAAAUGAUUAAGUAACUUAAUUUUUCCAACAAAAAUUAAAGCAAGGAACGCGCUCGAAAAAUUUAAUUUUCACUAUAUGGAUUGUUAAAUUUAAUAAUUACGCUGCAUUAUAAUAAAAUUAAUUAACAAUAUGGUUUCGGAAUGCUGAAUUUUGGUUUCGUAUAAUUGGAGAAAAUUAUAUUACCGAUAGAUGUAACUGAAUUAUAAUUUACGAAUUUUAAAUGGUGAUAUUUUACACUUUAAACGAAUGUUCUCUCGGUUAAUUAAAGUUUCCAAUAUCUUGAAAUUAAGUAAUUGUUUUUAACACGCGAAUAAACAGAAGAAAAGACUGAAAUAAAGCGAUUGCUAGCAAUCGAUAUUCUCGCAAGCAAUUUUCUACGAGAGACAACUACACAUAUAUCUACAUCGUUUGCUUCUUUUUUUACAACUAGGAAUUUUUUUAACACGAAAUAAGUUUCAUCCGUCCGAAGUUUUAUUUAAAAAUUUAAAAACAAUAGGUUCCAUAAAUCGGCAGGCAGAUUUUAAUUACGCAUUCCAUGAUUCUUACGAUGGGCUCGAGUUACGUUAGAUUACAAAUUGCAUAUACACACGUAUAAUUGAAUUCUCUAGGAUGCACGCAAUCUUUGUUCUGUUAAAUAUAUAAUACGCUGUUAGUCGAUCCCUUCUGACACUGCGGAAGAUCGUAGGCACCGUGGAAAUCGGGUCUGCGUCCCAAGGGAUCACAGUGUAAAAUGGAAACUUAUUAAAACGUAUUACGGUCGGGACUAGGAUCGUGGAAAGUAACAGUAACGGAUACGAUUGGAAGUUUAGGCGGAGAAACGAAAAGACCCAAGACUUAACCCGAAAAUGAUAAGUUACCGAGGCUGGUUCACAGUGGAAAUUUACGACGGAGAAAUUAAGAUUCUAUUGGGCCUUUAAUAUAUCGCCUGGACGAAGAAUAUAUUUCAACGGGAUGGAGGGAAUAAAAAUUCUCGUGUCUUGGCUAAAGGCGUUUCGUAACGUCUUAUCGCGGUAAUAUUCGCGCCAAGUAACUGAAACGGUACUCACUGCCUGGGUAAUCAGAGUGCAACGUGGUGCAAUUAAUCGUUAAUUCGUCGUCGAGCUACGCGAUGAAGCAAUUCGUUAUCGCAACGAAUAACUGCGAUCAGUUUUUAUCUUCGGAACGAGAGAAUCCGCAACGAACGUAAAAAAAAAACCGGUACGCAGGAGUUUUCGCUGAAUUCGGUUCGAUGAUGAGAAAUUAAAAUAGAUUAUCGGGACGCGAUCAUGCGUCACAUUCGUUAUAAUUUUAUCGAUAGAACCGAGCGUAUGAGCAGCCGAACCUGUGCGGCAGUAUGCAAAGUUAUCGUUUACAGAAUUUCUACAAAGCGAUCAAAUGAAAUUCAUAUCGGCACAAAUGACUGCUAUCGAUUAAUGUCGGCACGCUUAUUGGGAUAUUUUCUGCGCCGGCUCUAUCGAGCGGAAUAAUUGCGCACUAAACGUUAACAUUAAAUAUUUGGUAACAGAGUUCAACUGCGCUAAAAACAAAAUUGUUGAAAUAAUUUGGAGAUUCUGGUACACAGUUACUUUGCUGAAUAAAAUCAUAACGUUAAUAAUGCGGUGAAAACUAAAGUGAAAGAAGCCACGAGAUUAACGUCGAUAGUUUGUAAAAGUUUGCCGAUCAAAGACAGGAAAGCGUCGUCGCGUCGCACCUUUGACGCUCCGAGCAUACAUUUUAAUUCGAUCGUGACCUUUCGCGAUUUGCUCUUAUGAAAGAUUCAAACGGUCGUUACGCAAGAAUACGGCGAGAUGCAAACACGUUCGUUGAGAACGCAACACGUCGCUCGUGAAUAUCAUGCAGUUGUCGCGGAACUGGUGCCUCGUUCUUCGAGCCGAAGGUCUGGAAGGCUUGUUAGCCGGCAACCGUAACGCAAACGACGCGUUUCGCAAGAAAGAGUCCAAGUUAGCGAUGCGUCACGACUCCCUCUGGCCUUAUUUAGCAGGCGUGCACGUAGAAGCUUUUAAUUGAUCGAUUUCUCGAGAGACAGUGAUGGAUCUCGCGUCUGCAUUUCGCGGAAACGAUCGCGGCGUCUUUUAACCGCGCUAAUGAUUCGCAUGCCAAUUGCAUUACCCAAGCUCGGUUUUCGCCUGCUUGAUAGACGCGAAUAAUUGUAAUUACUUCCUGUGACAGCAACGAUACACUUCUACGUAAGUCUAGUUCAACGCAUGAUAAAGGCUUAAUCACACUAUACGUUUGUGGAAAUAAUUUGAAAUUCAAAUAGGAUUCGCCUGCAUUUAAUUAACCAUGAUUUUGAACAACUCGUUUCGUUCGUUUAUUCGUUGCAAAAUCGUAUUUGAUCUUCAAAACAUAGUUGAACCAUAAAACUACUGAAAACAUACAGUUAACAAGCAUUUUAGUCCAAUGUUAAAAACUUGACGUUAACGGUUUUGAUACAACAAACAGAGUUACAGGAGGAAAAUACACGUUGCUAACUGAAUAACAAUCAGGUAUUUAGGUUACGCAAGGUAUUCGCGAUCAUUUAUUGCGAGAGAUACAUCGCGCUGCCCUUGAGCCGAUACUUAGAAAAACCUGGAGUUGCAACGCUACAUUUUCUAACAUUGAUAUUAACAGGAACAGUAAGCACCGUUCUCCGAUCAAAUUUCCAAGAAACGGUGUUUCUGUGAAACCUCACCCGUGUUAACAUAGCAAAUACUAAUCUCGUUCAUUGCGUCGCAAUGAGGAUUAUGAGACAGAUUCUUGAACAACGUAUAGUCCAGCUCAAGAUAUAGCGAUAACGGAUAAACUAAACGCCUUUACGAAAACUUGAGCAUUUGGAUUACCAUUUGGAAUAAUCCGAGCCUCUGUCUGUGACUAAAUAGCCACUAAUUCACCAUAAAGUUAAUACAUGCAACAAAGCCACGCUUGUUAGCGUGUGUUUCAAAGGCUGACAAAAUUCUUUAUCACUAUCCAGUAGAUAAGAAAGAAAAACGAUUUAAAUAAAUUAGAGAGAAGGAGGGAACGAGAAAUUCGAAAUUGUAACGCGAGCGUGAACUUUUGUUUCGGUAAAUCGUCUAAAUUGCGUUGAUAACGAACUGAAUAUUUUCUCAUACGAUCCUGGCCGAGUCUCUAUAUCUCUCCUUAAACAUGUUCGAUUUAACUCCUGGCUUAUUUUAUGACCCCGCUAUAUGUUUGCCGAGAUUAUAUCACUGAACGAGCAUACGAGUAUGAAAUUCUUGAACGUGGUUAGUUCUUCAAACGUUGGUAUCGCAUUCGAAAUAUCGCCAACUAUAAGAUUCUAACACGAUAAAAGUAGCGGAGUUCGCGUGUACAAUAGUGUGCACGAGUGGGAAAGUUGGUGCGCAAUGGACGUCGCAUAAAUUAAUACACUCGGUGGCUACGAAAGGAGAAAAUGCUCGUAUGGAAACGUCGGCGUAACAACGGAUUCUUCAAAAGGAUCGUUUCGUUGACGCAGACAAACAUUAUUCGCGUGUAUUAUGUAUAUCGUGUGCACAAUAGCGAAGCAGCAGGGCCGUGGGCUGCUUCGAUUCGACAACGUAAUUUUUUCUUUUUUCACCACCCCUCGGUUCCUUCCCUCAUUCUCUUGCACCGUGGAACGAACUCCGAAAUACGGCGUUAGCAUACUGACUAAAGAGAGCGAAAGUCGCGAGAGGAGGGUAGAUAAAGGUGCACGCAAACCGAUGUAACGAAUGCGCAAACAAGCACGUCGGUACCCGCGACGGUCUAUAAUGAAGUUAGGAAAAGUACACCGUGAAGCCUGCUUGAAAAGCGUGAUUCGAAGACUCGAAAGAACACGCUGGUGUGCGUGUAUCCGCCUGUAUACAAAGCGUGUAGUCGUCGUCUGUGUUCCGUAAUGGCGCAUGUUUGCAUCUCUAGUGUUAGCAUCUAGGGGUAUCUGCAUCUCGAGGGUAAAUACGGGGGAAACCAAGCGCCACAUCGCAAAAAGUAUCACGCGAUCUACUCGAUACAGUAAACAUAGCUAAUUAUCGGAUGAAUGGGUUGCUAAAUUUCGUUUAUCACGUAUCGCCGUAUAUGGCAUUAACUCGGUCGAGUCAUUGUUAAAUAUUGACGUAGAUGACGAUAAUAGAAACGAAAUUUCAUCGAGUUUAGAUAUAAAAUAGCAAGAGAGUUAUCGAUACGAUGAAACUUUCUUGGUAUCGGCAAUUAACGUUGGAUAAUCGAGAACGUGAUAUUUAAGACCUGGUACGUGCUUGUCAUUGGUAUGGAUUAAGUCUAUAUUUAAGCCUUCGGUGAGAAGGGUUGUACUAUUUAUAUAGCACGUAAGUCUGAUCUUUUUCAUUCGUCGUCAUCUGGCGCACGAUCUUAUACAUAUGUCUGUACUAUAAUUAUCGAUAUUAUACAAAACAUUGCAAUUACUGGUUAAAGUUAUGAAAGAAACGAUUGAUCGGCGACGAUUUAAUAAACUGUUUAAACAA